ensembl:snoRNA SNORA72 Small nucleolar RNA SNORA72
UUGUAUAAAUUGUUGUUAGUCUGAUUUUGUAAUAGGACAGGCUAACAUUCACUUCGUUGAGACCAUGCAUGUGUCCCCAAACCUAAUUCUUUGCCUAGGUCUGCUUUUAUAAAUGGUGAUAAAC